GACAAUAUGGAGGAAAAUAAGGAAAGCCGACAAAUUUUGCGUCUGAGGAUCCAAGGCAGAUUCUGACCGUCAAAGAUAAGGCCUGAACAAUUGAAAGAAAAGAAAAG